rnacentral:rRNA from 1 species
UUGUGCCUACGGGACGCAGCAGUGAGGAAUAUUGGUCAAUGGGCGCAAGCCUGAACCAGCCACGUCGCGUGAGGGAAGACGGCCCUACGGGUUGUAAACCUCUUUUGCCGGGGAGCAAGCCUGAGCACGUGUGCCCAGGCGGAGAGUACCCGGAGAAAAAGCUCCGGCUAACUACGUGCCAGCAGCCGCGGUAAUACGUAGGGAGCGAGCGUUGUCCGGAAUUACUGGGUGUAAAGGGAGCGUAGGCGGGACGGCAAGUCAGAUGUGCAAACUGCGGGCUCAACUUUCAGACUGCAU